rnacentral:rRNA from 1 species
UUGUGAGGGCCCUUUAGAUGAGGGUUGGGCUUGAUCAGUACUUUGAUGGGCGAACACCAGGGAAAAUCAUGGUACUGCACAAA